GUUUUAGAAUCUUUCACCCCUGGAAUGUUAGACUUCUGGACUCUAGUUCAGCAGGGCCUCUAGCAGCAGCUGAAAUGCCUCUUUGGAUUAUCUGCAUCAGUGAGUGAGGAUGGAAAACGGAGCAGCAGGGCGUGGAUGCUCUGGAAUAAAUGAGGCUUCUCCAGGGGGCUCUCCUCCCAGGGGACCAGGGAGCUAUCAGGCCUCCUGUUCCCAUGUGAUGGCUGAACCAUCUCCUCCUGCUGGAGCCCAGUGCUCAUGCUGCCCCUCUUCUGCUCAAGAACCUGCUGUGGCUGGACAGUGCAUCAUGUCCACUGCCUCCACCUCCCCUUCAGCCAGCCCCCACCUCCCACCUUUCCUCUGGCUCACCCAGACUGCCUCCUCCGUGAAGCCCUCCCUGACAACCUCAGCUCAUUCCAACCUUCCCUCUCUUAGCGGCCAGCAUCAGACACUGAGGGCAUCAUGUCUUCUCAUUGAAUGGGCACUGGAAGCAGAUAAACCACAGACCUGCUCUGCCCCUUCCUGCCUGUGUGAUCCUGAGCAAGCGUCUUCACCUCUCUGAGCGGGUUUGCCUUGACAUAUGGGACAAAACAAUUUCUGCUCACAGGACUGUAGUGUUUUGCAGGCUUGACUUGCCCAGUCCGAUCCUAUGGCCCAGAUUUGUGUUUCAAGCAGUGGCCCUGGCAAGGCUGCGGCUCCAGUGGACUUUCCCCUAGCAUCCGGCACAUCCAGCCCUGUCCUCUGAGGCAUUUACUCGAUUCUCCCUGGCAAGAGUCUUCCGGCCUUUUUGCCACCUUGGAACUACUGGGGCCCAGUGGAGAGUCAGGAUGGGCUGAGGGCCUGGUGAUAGGGUGGGCGGUGGUGCUUCAGCCAGGGAUGAGGAAGAACUGGGCACAGGCAGGAACUCCCAGCCUUCUAGCGAGGAGCUCCUGAUCUGAGAGGGGUGCGAGGCUAGUGGCUGUGCAAGGGCACAGCAGAGAGCCCCCUAAGAGGUGGCAGGGUGGGGCCAGACAGGAGUGAUGGGAGAUCCUGCUGAUGCCAGGUGAGCAGGAGGCACUGCUGGUUAGUAAAUGGCCACUGGCCUGCCCGAGUGUCUCUGACUGGCCUGCCACCCCCUGCUCGGAGGCCGUUAGGUCUAACACUAAAGCCACCCUUGAUUCUCAUUGGUCUGACCAGUUGAUAAAUAUUUUGAAUAUCAAC